AACGAACGCUGGCGGCAUGCCUAACACAUGCAAGUCGAACGAGACCUUCGGGUCUAGUGGCGCACGGGUGCGUAACGCGUGGGAACCUGCCUUUAGGUUCGGAAUAACUCAGAGAAAUUUGAGCUAAUACCGGAUAAUGUCUUCGGACCAAAGAUUUAUCGCCUUUAGAUGGGCCCGCGUAAGAUUAGCUAGUUGGUGGGGUAAAGGCCUACCAAGGCGACGAUCUUUAGCUGGUCUGAGAGGAUGAUCAGCCACACUGGGACUGAGACACGGCCCAGACUCCUACGGGAGGCAGCAGUGGGAAUAUUGGACAAUGGGCGAAAGCCUGAUCCAGCAAUGCCGCGUGAGUGAUGAAGGCCUUAGGUGAAAGCUCUUUUUACCCGAGAUGAUAAUGACAGUAUCGGGAGAAUAAGCUCCGGCUAACUCCGUGCCAG
rnacentral:rRNA from 1 species